rnacentral:lncRNA from 1 species
AUCCCACUGCCCCCAUCCCCACCCCACUGCUCCCAUCCCCAUCCUACUGCCCCCAUCCUACUGCCCCCACCCCACUGCUCCCAGUUCCCAUCCCAUCACUCCCAGUUCCCGUCCCAUCACUCCCAGUUCCCGUCCCGUUACUCCCCAUUCCACCCCAUUGCUCCCAGUUCCCAUCCCACCGCUCCCUGUCCCCAUUCCCAUCAUUCCCAGUUCCCACCCCACCCUAUUCCUGUUCCCAUCCCAAUCCCAUCCCACCCCCUUCUCAAUUCCCAUCCCAUCCCCUCCCAGUUUCCACCCUUAUCCCAUCCCACCCCUAUUCCCAUCGCAAUUCCUAUUCCCAGUUCCCAUCCCAUUCCCAUCCCAAUCCCCAUCCCAGUUCCCAUCCCAUUCCCAUCCCAGUUCCCAUCCCAUUCCCAUCCCGUUCCCAUCCCAAUCCCCAUCCCAUUCCCAUCCCAUUCCCAUUCCAGUUCCCAUCCCAGUUCCCAUCCCAAUCCCCAUCCCAUUCCCAUCCCAUUCCCCAUCCCAUUCCCAUUCCAGUUCCCAUCCCAGUUCCCAUCCUGUUUCCAUCCCAAUCCCCAUCCCAAUUCCUGUCCCAAUUCCCAUCCCAAUCCUUAUCCCGUUUCCAUCCCAAUCCCCAUCCCAGUUCCCAUCCCAGUUCCUAUUCCAGUUCCCAUCCCAAUUCUCAUCCCAAUCCCCAUCCCAAAUCCCAUCCCCAUCAACAUCCCAAUUCCCAUCCUCACCCCAUCCCCAAUCCCAAUUCCCCUCCCCAUCCCCGUUCCCCCCCCACUGCUGACCCACAGGGACGCAGAGGGGUUCGGCCCCAUAAG